GACAGAGGGGCCGAGCGUUAGUCGGAAUCACUGGGCUUAAAGCGUGUGUAGGCGGGUCUUUUAGUGCCUUGUGAAAUCCCACAGCUCACCUGUGGAACUGCUUGGCAUACUGGAGAUCUUGAGCCACUUAGGGGCAACCGGAACAAACGGUGGAGCGGUGAAAUGCGUAGAUAUCGUUUGGAACGCCAAUGGCGAAAACAGGUUGCUGGGAGUGCGCUGACGCUGAGACGCGAAAGCCAGGGGAGCAAACGGG
rnacentral:rRNA from 1 species